CUGCACCAGCUAGGCCCCUGGCCCCCAGAGCUGGCCGUUACUGCACUGUCUCUACUCCCGGCUUUAAACAGGAGGAAGGGAGCUGAACGGAACCUUCGAGCUUUUAAAGCCAGGAGUGGCCAGUCACCCCAGUACUCAGGAGACUGAGGCUGAGGGUUCAUGAGUUACAUAGGACAACCUGGACUGUAGAGGGAGCCUGUGCCUGCCUGACUGCCUUCGAUGAUAGACUGUAAUGUAGGAAUACAAGUGAAGUCAACGCUUCCCUACCCAGAUGCUUCUGCUCAUUCAUCGCGGUUUAUCGAAUCAAUAGGAAGCCCAAGACACCAGCCUAGGAGAAAGGUCAUGGCGGCUGGAAAUGGCAACACCACAGACACAGACUGUCCAGCACAUCACAGGAUCAUGGGCCCCGAUGCUGAGAAUGGAGCUGCAGGAUUUAACGUUUGUCUUGCUAUGCUUUGGUCUUGUUUCACUUAAAUCCUUCCCUGUCAUUUCUUUUUCCUGUUGGAAUGAAGAUGCUUACUCUGUGCAGUAUUGUAUUUCAGAAGUACAUAACUUCAUUUUUGAUAUUACAGAAGCUCAAGAAACUAAAUUUAGACUCUGUGUGUGUGUGUGUGUGUGUGUGUGUGUGUGUACCAAGCACUCUACUUGAUUUUUCUAAAACAGGGUUUCUUACUGAACCUGGAGCUUGCAGUUUCAGGUAGACUGGAAGGCCAGGGAACCCUGGCCUGUCUCUGUCCCUUCCACCAACACUAGGACAAUAGGCAUAUAUUGCCAUGCCCAGCCUAUACAUGAGUGCUAGAUAUCUGAACACAAGUCCCUGGGCCUGCACAGCAAGCACUUUAUCUACUGAGCCAUCUUUCCAGUCCCACAUUUAAACUUUUUGAACAGCUGGGCAUGGGGAGGAAGGUGGGCAAAGGUCACUCCAACUGGGCCUAUAAAGUGCUUAGCCACAAAGACUGACCCUAAGUCUGAGGUAGAGAAAGACACUUUAAAGGGAAAUAGGGGAAGAACAAUAGAAGCUGACAGUCAGCUGCCUAGCUAAUGGCAGUCUAGCUCAUACUGGUUGACUCCAUUCACCAGUCAGCACAGAUUCACAAGUCACUAGGAGCCAGUGGCUCUCAUGAGGCAGGGACAUCCAGGUAAGUCACAGGGUCGGAGAAGGGGCCUGGCCGGGCCCAGUAAUCCAAUGCUCGAACUCGGUAGGAGCCAGAGACCACAGCUGUGUCUGCAGACACAAAAGCAUAUGUCUUCUGAAGUUCUCAAACCCCAGACCCAACCUACAUCAUACUGUACUGAGGUCCAGCAGUACAAUUGCCAAGACUAAGGUUUUAGUCAUACCUGGGCUGAACACAAAGAGGUUAAAAGUAGACGGCCUCCUGUUGAUUGGGGCAUACUCUUCACCUUUCUGGGAAAACUGGAUCUCAUAUGUCCACAGGCACCUGAGGAGGGAUGGGUCUGUACUGAAGCUGGUGCUAGCUAAACUCUGAAGGCCUGGAUGGGUGGGAUAGGGUGGACCCACAACCCUAUACUCUUCAG
rnacentral:lncRNA from 1 species